AUGAAUCAAUCAGGACACACGUAAAUUUAUAUAAUGACAAAAUUUUGACACACCAGGUAAGCUAGAAAAAGGGCGAUACACGGCGUUUUGUUGAGAUAUGCUAUGCUAAGUGAACAAAUAACUGGAAGCAUCGACCAUCAGAAUGCAGAAUUGCUUCCUCUGGUUUUCCCGAGUAGAAUGUCUUUUGCCUCGUUGAUCUUGGAAGCAAGAUAAU
rnacentral:misc_RNA from 1 species